rnacentral:lncRNA from 1 species
GCACCCUCCCUCGUCACCGGCGUUCGUCCUCCCCCAGGCACUACCGUCCGCCCUCCACCGACGCAGACGUCCGAGAGCCUGCGCCUUUCUUCCCAUGCAUGGCCCUCCCCUGCUCCUCGGCCGGCCAUCCACAUUGGCCGUGGUCGAUGCGGUGCCGAACCCCGGCAGCACCUCGCGUCGGCCACGGCUUCGACCCUCAUCAUCGGGGGCAUCGACAUCCCGCAUGACCACGGCUGUGACAACCACUCCGACGGUAGGUUCCUUUUUUUGGAUCUGAACAGGCGGAGGUGCUCCUGGCGGCGAACGGCUGACGGCCAUAACCGGGGAGGACCGCCAGCUUACUCGACGGUGAGCAGAUCGGCCGUCCUCCAUGGUCGUUCCACCACCGGAUCUGGCUCAGGAGGUAACGGAUCCCAAUCGUCGAAGGCGACGGUGACCAAGGAGCGACAGUCGCCGUCGCCCGUGGAGGACAACGCAUGCGGCAAGGAGCCAAAGGGGCGUGAGACCACCAGGGCAGUGCCAUCAGCAGGAGAACAAGUGCAAGUGACAGUUCAAUGUUUCUUGCAUGGGUGAUGGAUAAAUGUUGGCGGGGAGGAUUAAGGAAUCUGCAGCACUGCGUGGGCUCGACAUUGAUGUGUGGCACUUGCACUGUCCGGCGUCUAUGGGUCUCUCUCAGCGUAUUGCAUUCCCCAGCUGAAGGUUCCCUGCCAUGAAUUCAGAGAAGAAACAACAUUAAGAGAAAUAUGUAUUCCUGUUCUUUAGACAGUGCAUCAUUAGACUACUACCUCUAUUACUACAUGAAGUUUGUGUUAGCAAUAAUGUGGCUACAUGAUGUUUGUAUUAGCAGUAAUGUGGCUGUGUUAGUCAUUUGGAAUUAGAAAUUAAUUCCAUACACCGAGAGAAGCAAUGUUGGAUACUAUUCUUCUUGUUCAAUAUUGUCCUAUUGUACACAAAAUAGAACAUUAUGUCGUCAGGUUGCGUUGU